ensembl:lncRNA
GGGUGAGCUGGCAGGUGUUUGGAGUGGAAAAUUAUUAGAAUGUGACCCUAGAAUGGCUGGCAGUCACAUCCCCAACUAGAUGAUGAGCCAAGAGCCCCCUUUGAUGAAGGACUUGGCCCAGCUGCUGUGAUUAUUGUUGGCACUCAACUUUGGGCUGUCAGCCUUCAGGAACUGCCUCAGCUACAGAGAGCCUCUUCACCCAAAGUCACCCCUGCCCUGGGCUGCCCACAUUCAAAGACUGGUGGCUGCAGCAGCCAGGCCAUCUCCAUCUAACUCGGGACAACUCUGAGGAGCCAUUCUACCUCCACAGUUUAUGGGUCUGCCUAGGCCAGAGUGUGGCCUGCAUCACAGCUCAGCUUUCUCUCUGCCCAGUCCUGCACCCAGCUUUUCCCUUCCACAGGUGUUAAUCCUGAGGGUCAUUUUUGUGGUUUAGUAGCUAAUUUGUGUCUGACUCUCUAUGACCCCAUGGACUGAAGCCCACCAGGCUCCUCUGCCCAUGGGAUUCUCCAGGCAAGAACACUAGAGUGGGCUGCUAUUUCCUUCUCAAGGGGAUCUUCCUGACCCAGGGGUCAAACCCACAUCUCCUUUGUUGGCAGGUAGCUACUUUACCACUGAACCACCAGGGAAGCCCUAAUCCUGAGGGUACUCCUUAAUAAACAUCCUGAGCAUUAAAAUCUAUGUCAGCGUCUUCUUUCUAGCCUGCAACAUCCAUCGCAAAGAGGAACUUAAAAGAAUGAAGUCAACACAUAUAGAAAAUAUGAAUUAGAGAGGGAGAGACAGAGAAUCAGAGAACCACUUAUGCCAUCACUCAGGGUCCAAACUUGGUAUCCUGUGGUUUGAUUGUGUGAGCCAAUUAAUCCACAUUUUAGACGUUUUGUUUUAGAGCUGGUUUGAGCUGGCUUUCUAGUAUUUGUGUCCUAGUGAAUACAGAAACCAACGGAACAAACUGCAAGGGAUUACUGUGCUUUUUAAAUGUUGAUUAAAAACAGAUGAUGCGUGGAGGAUACC